CCCUGCCACCGCGUCGCCUGCGGGGUGGUUGUGGGGCUCCGGGAGGGCAGAGCUAGGCUCGCCCGCGAGGAGAUGGUCGGGCUCUCGGUGCCCGCCGAGGUCACCGCGAUCCUGCUGGAUAUCGAAGGGACCACGACGCCGAUUGCUUUCGUGAAGGACAUUUUAUUUCCUUACAUCAAAGAAAAUGUGCAGGAAUAUCUGCAGACACACUGGGAAGAGGAGGAGUGUUGGCAGGACGUGAGCCUUCUGAGGAAGCAGGCUGAGGAAGCUGCCCACCUGGACGGUGCUGUUCCGAUCCCCACGGCAUUUGGGGAUGGGGUGGAUGACCUCCAGCAGACGAUCCAGGCUGUGGUAGAGAAUGUGCGCUGGCAGAUGUCUCUGGACCGGAAGACCACAGCACUCAAACAGCUGCAGGGCCACAUGUGGAGGGCAGCGUUCACAGCUGGACACGUGAAAGGAGAGUUCUUCGCAGAUGCAGUGCCUGCAGUCAGGAAGCGGAAAGCAGCUGAAUGAAGGUGUAUGUCUAUUCCUCAGGGAGCAUCGAGGCCCAGAAACUUUUAUUUGGGCAUUCCACAGAGGGAGAUAUUCUUGAGCUUUUUGAUGGUCACUUUGACACCAAGAUUGGACACAAAGUGGAGAGUGAGAGCUACCGAAAGAUUGCAGAUAGCAUUGGGUGCUCAACGAAAAACAUCUUGUUUCUGACAGAUAUUACU